UCCCUGGUGGUCCAGUGGCUAAGACUCUGCACUCUCAACGCCAGGGGCCUGGGUUUGAUCCCUGGUCAGGGAA
rnacentral:tRNA from 1 species